AGGAACGCUACGUUCACCUUCAAGUCAAGUGACGGUACCAACUGGAACAAGUUCGAGGCUCAGGUGGAUGGCGCUAAGGACGUCGUGAAGUACGACCUGCUGUACGUGGACUGUGACCAUUGCAAGGUCAUGAAGUGCCCGACAAGCUCGAAAUGUCUGCUGUCGGUGCGAGAGUCCGCCCUCCGGCAUGGAGUGCCCCAGCACUGCAACUUUGUCUACGACUUGUGUUGCGGCACAUCAUCAAAGCACCAGAUCUCGGACGCCAGCUGCCUCGCCGACAGAGUGGAGACAAGCUUUUGAAAAUGAAGACAAACAAGCUCUCGCUCGCACAGUACAUUUGACGCGAAAAGGCAGAGAAUAAACUG